ensembl:snoRNA U3 Small nucleolar RNA U3
AAGACUAUACUUUCAGGGAUCAUUUCUAUAGUUUGCUACUAGAAUAUAAGUUUUACUCACCAGGGUGGU